rnacentral:rRNA from 1 species
UACGUAGGUGGCAAGCGUUGUCCGGAAUUACUGGGCGUAAAGCGUGCGCAGGCGGUUUGGUAAGACAGAUGUGAAAUCCCCGGGCUCAACCUGGGAAUUGCAUUUGUGACUGCCCGACUAGAGUGUGUCAGAGGGGGGUAGAAUUCCACGUGUAGCAGUGAAAUGCGUAGAGAUGUGGAGGAAUACCGAUGGCGAAGGCAGCCCCCUGGGAUAACACUGACGCUCAUGCACGAAAGCGUGGGGAGCAAACAGG